rnacentral:rRNA from 1 species
CMUGGCAGUUCUGAAGCGGGAAACGAUGAUAGCUUGCUAUCAGGCGUCGAGCGGCGGACGGGUGAGUAAUACUUAGGAAUCUACCUAGUAGUGGGGGAUAGCUCGGGGAAACUCGAAUUAAUACCGCAUACGACCUACGGGAGAAAGGGGGCARYUUGCUGCUCUCGCUAUUAGAUGAGCCUAAGUCGGAUUAGCUAGAUGGUGGGGUAAAGGCCUACCAUGGCGACGAUCUGUAGCUGGUCUGAGAGGAUGAUCAGCCACACCGGGACUGAGACACGGCCCGGACUCCUACGGGAGGCAGCAGUGGGGAAUAUUGGACAAUGGGGGCAACCCUGAUCCAGCCAUGCCGCGUGUGUGAAGAAGGCCUUUUGGUUGUAAAGCACUUUAAGCAGUGAAGAAGACUCCAUGGUUAAUACCCAUGGACGAUGACAUUAGCUGCAGAAUAAGCACCGGCUAACUCUGUGCCAGCAGCCGCGGUAAUACAGAGGGUGCAAGCGUUAAUCGGAAUUACUGGGCGUAAAGCGAGCGUAGGUGGCUUGAUAAGUCAGAUGUGAAAUCCCCGGGCUUAACCUGGGAACUGCAUCUGAUACUGUUAGGCUAGAAUAGGUGAGAGGAAGGUAGAAUUCCAGGUGUAGCGGUGAAAUGCGUAGAGAUCUGGAGGAAUACCGAUGGCGAAGGCAGCCUUCUGGCAUCAUAUUGACACUGAGGUUCGAAAGCGUGGGUAGCAAACAGGAUUAGAUACCCUGGUAGUCCACGCCGUAAACGAUGUCUACUAGUCGUUGGGUCCCUUGAGGACUUAGUGACGCAGCUAACGCAAUAAGUAGACCGCCUGGGGGAGUACGGCCGCAAGGUUAAAACUCAAGAG